rnacentral:lncRNA from 1 species
AACAGGGCUUUAACAUCUGUCCCAAGUGGAAUAGAUACAAAGGUAUGUGAUAGAGUGAGCUGGCUUGCCUUUAUGCAUGGCAACAUGGAAAAACAGAACUGAAGACAAGAGGGGAUGGCUGGGUAGCGUUUUAGGCUGCUUACUUCCACCUCCUCUUCAUUGCUUUGUCCAUGUGCCUUUAAAAAAGGUGGGGUGAAGAGUUGGGCCAUAGUUUAAUAGACAAAAUGCUUGACAUAUGACCAUGAGUAUUUACAUUUAAAUUCCCAGCACCCACAGGUGCAGUAACGCAUACCUGCAAUCCCAGCACUGGGGAGGCAGAGGCAAGUGGACCUCUGGACCUUGCUGGCCAGCCGAUCUAACCAAAUCAGUGAGUGAACUAUAGCUUUAGGGAGAGACUGUGUCUGAGAAAGUAAAGUGGAAAGUGAUUACGGAAGAUGCCCUAAUUCCCACCUCUGGUGUUCACAUGCACGUGCACACGUGUGCUUGCUCACCUACAUUUGUAAAUAAAAAAACAUACAAGUGCACAAGGAAAGUGGAGUACUGCCAGACUUUCCUAAAACACAUAUAUUUCAACUGAUUUUUUUGUUACACAAACAAUUUUCUUGGAAGUUUUGCUAGAAAGUGUUACUCCUGAUACCAUUUAUUCUGUAGCUUAAUAGGUGAAUGGUUUGCAUAUACAAUUAUAAUAAAUACAUAUGUAUAUACACACAGUUUUUAGGAAUGUGUUCCAACACUCCUAACAAACUGCCUCUGAAUGCUCAAGGUAGGGAUUUCUAAUUUUGAGUUUUCAAAGAAAGUAUUCUUUUCCUUGAGCAGUCUCCUCAAUGGCCAUUUAUUUAAUUCAUACAAACUUGCAGCUUCUGUUUUGAAAUAGCUAGUGUAUUUCCCUCCUUUUUCUUUUCUUCCUUUCAAACUAAGCUGUAGUCACAGGAAAUAUGAGCAAACUCCAGGAUGCAUCUUUUGUGAUGUGGACUCAGUAGUUCUUGCGGUGAUCAGAAAAUCCCCUCUUCAUGAAAACCUUCAUCCCACCCAGUCACCCUCCUUCUCUUUGGGGAGCACGAGUGAGUGCUCUCAUUAUUCUGCUGUUUGUUAAUGUAGGAAGCACUCCAAGGCACAGCAUCAGAGGUAACCAAAGGCUGGAGCCUAUAGCAGCUUUCCACCUCUCCAUCCCUUUCUUUUGCCUCUCACAGACUCACCCAUGGUCAAGAGCAGUGCAUGUCUGAAUGUUUAAUUCAAUGAAGCUUUUCUUUCUUACUUUUAGAUAAAAAAUUCAGAAAUAGCAGCUUUGAUAGUUUCUCCUUGUACUCCUAAUUAAAAGUCUUGCACUUGCCUUCAAAGGCUGCUGCCAUAAACAGUAAAUAUCCAAGAGUCAUUUACCUUUAAGGCCAGGCCAAUUUCUCAUCACUUGGCAGUCGGUAAUGGCCACGUUGUCUCAUUAUGUUAAGUGGCCUUUGAUCUUGUUUAGAUUGCUCUUGAGCACUUUCUUUUUAAUUGGCUUAGAGGAAAGUCCUAAAUUACUUGUAACUGGAUGUAAAUAUUACAAGAUUAAAUACUCUGGUAGCACCUUCACUUUUCCUUGCCUUGAUUUUACCCACCUAGAAGUGGGCCAUGUACGGUGCUGUGCUCAAAAAGGGUGUUGGGUAGGCAGUCUUUCUUGGGUUGUUACCAUUUGAAAUAGCUCAGAAGGCCUUAACCACAUAACCACUUUUAACCACUUAAUACUGUGGAAUAGACAGUAAAUGAUGAAGGACGUCUGUGCUAAGUGAUGGUUUUAAAUGAGGAUCAAAGUCUCCAAUGUGUUUCUGUAGUUACAUCAAACUCCCAAUCUGAGUUGUAAAGACUAACUUCAUGUUUAUAAUUGCAUAGAAGUUUAAAGAAUAGAAUCUGCAUAAUGAGCAUAGUUCUGUAUAGAAGAAUCUUGAAGAAUUAUAUAUUUGCUUUGUGGGUUUCCCUAAAGAAUGUUGGUAGUACCUAGAUUCCUUUCCAAUAUAAAGAUGAAAUAAAUAAACUUAUUACUCUGUUGAUCAUAACACCAGACGAUGAUAAGUGUGUAAGCCACAGACAUGAGACAGCUAGUACCAAUGUCUGAUGAUUCUCUUACCCUCUACAGUCUUCAAACGCUCAACAGUUAGAAAGGUUUGCUCUUCCUCUUGCACAAGGCCAGACUUGAGUUUGCAACACUCUCAUUGGACAGUGCACAACCAGCUAUAUGUCCAUCUCCAGGGAGUUCCUCUGACCUCCAUGGCACCCUUGCUCCUAUGCCCACACACAGACACACACAUACACAAAAAUAAAAUAAAUAUUUUUAAGUUAAAAAUGGAAACCUUUUUCUAGCUUCUUUCCUAUCUUAAUAUAAAUAAUAAGAUUGUGGGAAUCUCUUUGAUCUCCUUUCUAGAAUAAUAAACCUGAGUCUUUGCCUGGUGCCUUCUGUAGAACUAGUUUUUCUCCCUCCAUACAAUCUUUAUAACUUCCUUGCCUUUCCCUCCCUCCCCAUUUGUGAAACACAUUUGUGAACACAUUUGAAACUGUAUUCAGCACGAGCCUGUGUGAUGGAGAGAAACAUUCCAGCCCUUGUCUGUGUUCAGCUGGCCCUCUCCCUAUUCUCCCUGCUGCUCAAGGCUCCUGUUCCUCACAGAUCCUCCUUGAAACAGCUCACUACCUCACCCUCACCUCCUAUACACACUCUUCUGUGAGCUGUCUUCCAUCUCCGGUGAAACUUCUCAGCAGCACCAAUGCAUGAGUCUUGAAUUGUACAUGAAUCACUUCCUUCCUCUCCCCUUACAUC